UCCAUGCCUCCCCAUAUCCGCUCCCGCCCAGCGCAGACCCCCAAUCCUUCAGGGCCAGGCUGAGGCCACGUCUUCCCUGGGUCCCCUCCCCAGCGCCGGGGAGGAGGCAAAGGGAGGAGCUCUGGCCGCAGCCGCCUGCCCUCCCCACUCAGAAGCUCCCCCUCCCCUCGGCUGCCGCAGCCCCACUCGUCGCGCGCGUCAGCGUGGGCUCCCCGGAGCGAGUCGCUAGGUAACAGGGCUGGCUCCGCAGACCCAGGGCCGGGGAAGCCCGCGCGAAGCGUCAGCCGCGGCGCGGUGGGACGCAGGGACCCUCUUCCCUCCGCGCCUGCAGACCCCGGUUGGCACGCAGCCCCCUCCUAGGAUGACUUAACCUUCGCGAUCGCAGCCGCCGGGGUGCCCCUCCCUUGCAGGGACCCCGACGCCGCCAGCCCCUUCCUCCUUCCCUGCUGGUGCGCUCUGUUCUGCGAGAGGCCGGGUGAGCGCCCCACCGCCUGGGUCUCCAUCGUUGCUGGUCCUCCCGCCGAGCCCCCACGCGGGGCAUGAGGAGCCCCGGGGCGCCGCCCGGAGACGACUCGGCUGCGCGCACACCUCGCCAGCGGCUGACGGGGACAUGAGCGGCGUGAACGGGGUCCUGCGCCCCGCGGCCAGCCCCAGCCGGCGGCGGCCAGCGGGUCAGCGCUGCCCGGGAGAAUGAGGCAGGAGCUAGCUGCAGCCUCCUUUUUCUCCUGCUCCUCCUCCUCCUCCUUGCCUUCCUCCGGCUCCAGUGCCCCGGGCCCGGGCCGGGCUGUGGCUCUGCUGCGUGCCCCGCGCGCCCCCCGCCCGCCUCCGGAUGCGCUGCUCGGUUGGCCUGGGGAGGAAGAUAAAGACAUUUGCAACCAAGAUGGUAAUCACGAAUGGAAAUGAUGAAGACAGAGGAGGCCAAGAAAAAGAGAGUAAAGAGGAGAGUGUCUUGGCGAUGCUGGGGAUUCUCGGAACCAUCCUGAACCUGAUUGUAAUCAUAUUUGUGUACAUAUACACCACGCUGUGAAGGGCCCAGAGGCUCCUCAGACGCCUCGGGAUGGCCAGACGACGGGAGUCCUGUGUGUCGCCAAAUCAGUGAUUGAACACUGCACAAACAAGCAGCUGUGACCUACACACGCCACUCGAUCAAAUGCACCUUCGAACUUUAUAAAAGGUCACAAAAAUAAAUGGAUCCUGCUGCAAGGAGCAGACUCUAAAGCACAAUGAAUCCAACAAAACUCGUUAACACAACCAGGAACUCAACGUCUUUGGCAGGGGGCCCGGAAGACGGCUUGGAAGGCCAGGCUUUGAUGCCAUCGGUGAAAGGAUGGGUGCAGGAAUUUAUUACCCCAGAUCGCAGACAGAUACCACAUACUCGAAAAGAGGAACAGGGCAGACGCCACUCUUUGGCGUGUUCCCAGGACACGCGUUUCAUCUUCUGGUCACAAGCUGUUUAGUAUGAAAAACCACAGGGGCAGUCUUUGGGGAGGCAUCCCACAUCAAAAGUGUCUAUUUGAUACCGGGGAGAUACCUUAUUUUUCUUUUUUCAUUGGCUUGACGUGUGUAUCUGUUGAUAUCAAGAUUUAUAAAUAUAUAUUUUUAAUAAACGUGCUGUAUUUUUUAGCAUGAACCAAAUAUUUGGAGAGGCACUCCUGGAUUCACAGAGCUUUCCUUGGUUCUAUCUGCUUCCCCCGCUAGGCUGCAGAUGUUCUGUUGUGUAGUCAUUCUAGUCUUACUUCUCUUAUCCUUUACCUUCUCUCUCUCUGUCUCUUUUGGGUUUGGAGGACAUUUUUCCAUAAUACCUGCCGUGGUCUUGGUUGGUGCAUGCUUUCCGGUUGUCCGUUGAGCAGUUUUUUUGUUGUUAUAUAGGAGACAUAGAGUGACUGUGGGCAUGUGGACCUUAGAUGCACCGUAUCCGUACUGAGAAUUAUGCAUGAACAAAGGCUGAGUGCUACAUCAGCUUCAAGAAAUUUCCAAAGGACUACCUACCACUGAGGAAGCGUGCAGCUCUAUUUGCAAAUCAACUGUAGGAUGGAUUGUUCAGCUUCUCGUUGGCAGCAUUUUCAUUUCAUUCUUGUGACCAUUCGCUGAUCAGAUUUUGAUUUUAAUGGCCAUGUACCGUGAAAGCUGGAAAAAAACGGGAAAAGCUCAGCAUUCGGUGCAUAGUCCCUUCCUCAGCGAGCCACCUGGGAUCCUUUUCAAAUUAGAAGGGGUGUAAAUGACACGUGGACUCCCCACCGUGGGAGCUCACUUCAGUCUGUGAGGACACCCCUGGGACAGGUGACUCUUCAAGGGCUCUGGAAGGGACAUAACGAUCGCCCUAAAGGAUUGCUGCGCUUCUUAAAGCUCCUGGUUUACACCCACAUGAAGCUACUUUCUCCUUGGCAGGAUGGUUGAAUAAAUGUGGAUUUGCCCUGUUCUGCUGGCUCCCGGAGACUGCCGUGGCCAGGCUACAGCAGCAUAGCCUUAAAAAGAGGGUCAGGAUUUCUUCUGCCAGCGCCAGCCUUGCCCGUGGGCAAAAGAAGCAGCAACCUGCCUCGUUGGAUUUGAAUGAUGCCCAGAGGUCUCUGCUGCCAGAUCCGUCCCCCUCCAUGCUGUGGUAUCUGAAAUUCCACCAUUGGAGAAUCAUUUCUUGGGCUCGGCUAAGGGACCAGGCUCUUUUAUAAAGCAAAUGCCUCUGAGCACCGGGCUCUG